rfam:Actinomyces sp. oral taxon 175 str. F0384 Contig87, whole genome shotgun sequence.
GCCGCUUUAGCUCAGUUGGUAGAGCAGCUGUCUUGUAAACAGCAGGUCGUCGGUUCGAGUCCGACAAGCGGCU